rnacentral:rRNA from 1 species
AUUGAACGCUGGCGGCAUGCCUUACACAUGCAAGUCGAACGGCAGCACGGGAGCAAUCCUGGUGGCGAGUGGCGAACGGGUGAGUAAUACAUCGGAACGUGCCCGAUCGUGGGGGAUAACUACUCGAAAGAGUAGCUAAUACCGCAUACGACCUACGGGUGAAAGCAGGGGAUCUUCGGACCUUGCGCGAUUGAAUGAGCCGAUGUCGGAUUAGCUAGUUGGCGGGGUAAAGGCCCACCAAGGCGACGAUCCGUAGCUGGUCUGAGAGGAUGAUCAGCCACACUGGAACUGAGACACGGUCCAG